CUGCGGGCGCCGCCAUGUUGAGGGUCCUCGCCGCGGGCGCGUAGGUGUCCUCAUAAGAUGCCGGCUCGGCGGCGCCCGGCUUUUUCCCCCUCAAGAUGGCGUCCAUGCGGGAGAGCGACACGGGCCUGUGGCUGCACAACAAGCUGGGGGCCACGGACGAGCUGUGGGCGCCGCCCAGCAUCGCGUCCCUGCUCACGCCCGCGGUUAUCGACAACAUCCGCCUCUGUUUCCACGGCCUCUCGUCGGCCGUGAAGCUCAAGCUGCUGCUCGGGACGCUGCACCUCCCGCGCCGCACGGUGGACGAGAUGAAGGGUGCCCUCACAGAGAUCAUCCAGCUCGCCACCCUGGACUCGGACCCCUGGGUUCUCAUGGUGGCCGACAUUCUGAAGUCCUUUCCUGAUACCGGAUCUCUUAACCUUGAUCUUGAAGAGCAGAAUCCCAACGUUCAAGAUAUUUUAGGAGAACUUAGAGAAAAGGUGAACGAGUGUGAGGCGUCGGCCAUGCUCCCGCUGGAGUGCCAGUACUUGAAUAAAAACGCCCUGACGACCCUCGCUGGGCCCCUCACUCCCCCAGUGAAACAUUUUCAGUUGAAAAGGAAACCGAAGAGUGCCACACUGAGGGCAGAGCUCCUGCAGAAAUCCACCGAGACCGCCCAGCAGCUGAAGAGGAGCGCGGGGGUGCCCUUCCACGCCAAGGGCCGGGGGCUGCUCCGGAAGAUGGACACCACGACCCCGCUCAAAGGCAUCCCGAAGCAGGCGCCCUUCCGAAGCCCCACCGCCCCCAGCGUCUUCAGCCCCGCGGGGAACCGCACUGCCAUCCCGCCGUCGAGGACGCCCCUGCGGAAGGAGAGGGGCGUGAAGCUCCUCGACAUCUCCGAGCUGGACAUGGUCGGGGCCGGCCGGGAGGCCAAGAGGAGGAGGAAGACCCUGGACGCGGAGGCGGUGGAGAAGCCAGCCAAGGAAGAGACAGUCGUGGAGAACGCCACCCCCGACUACGCGGCCGGCCUGGUGUCCACGCAGAAACUCGGGUCUCUGAACAACGAGCCUGCGCUGCCAUCCACGAGCUACCUGCCGGCGACGCCCAGCGUGGUCCCUGCCUCAUCCUACAUCCCCAGCUCCGAGGCGCCGCCAGCCCCUCCUGCCCGGGAAGCCAGCCUGCAGGCCAGCCGGCCCCCCGAGGAGCCCAGCGCCCCCAGCCCCGCGCUGCCGGCACAGUUCAAGCAGAGGGCGCCCCUGUACAACAGCGGCCUCAGCCCCGCGGCGCCCACGCCCGCGGCGCCCACCUCGCCCCUGACGCCCACCACGCCCCCGGCCGUCGCCCCCGCCACCCAGACGCCUCCGGUGGCCAUGGUGGCCCCCCAGGCCCAGGCCCAGCCCCCCACCCAGCAGCAGCCCAAGAAGAACCUGUCGCUCACGAGAGAGCAGAUGUUUGCCGCGCAGGAGAUGUUCAAGACGGCCAACAAGGUCACGCGGCCCGAGAAGGCCCUCAUCCUGGGCUUCAUGGCCGGCUCACGAGAGAACCCGUGCCAGGAGCAGGGCGACGUGAUCCAGAUCAAGCUGAGCGAGCACACGGAGGACCUGCCCAAGUCGGACGGCCAGGGCAGCACCACCAUGCUGGUGGACACGGUCUUCGAGAUGAACUACGCCACGGGCCAGUGGACGCGCUUCAAGAAGUACAAGCCCAUGGCCAACGUGUCCUAGGGCCACCGCCCCCGCCGGCCUGACUCGGGCUCCAGGGGACCACCGGCCCCCGACGCGCCACCGAGUCCCAGCCCACUUGAGCUUUAGAUUCAGUUUCUCUGGGGUGUUUUGGACUUAUUUUCUAAAUUUUAAUAUGGGUCCCUUUUGUGUGAUUUAAGACACUUUUUUGCAUUCAAUGUUACAGUUCUGAAUGUUAAACUUAGCCCCGAAAGGUGUAACUUCCUAAUCUUGGCAACAGCUCUGCCUGUUAGACUUCUGUCUUUUCUCAUUUUUUCUUCAGUCCCACUGACCGCGAGAGAGGGCUUUUCUUGCUCGUGCAGCCCUCUCCCCGCCCACGCGGCUGAGGGACCAAAGGUGGCGCCUGGUGUGGCUGAAAACAGGGCGGGGACGGCCGCCAGUGCCCAGGGAUGGGGGAUGCCAGGACACGCUCACCACCCACAGGGUGCGGUGGACACGACGCCCGCGGACACAGCACUUUACUCAUUCAUCAAACGCUACACGUCUCACAGGAUCAAGAGUUCGGCAACUGACAGUCGUCUGUGUUACCUUUCAUAAAAACAGGCUUAUCAUCUUUUCUUAUUCCUGGACAUACGGCAGGCAGUUCUAGAAGAUGGCGCCGCACACACUGCAGUUUGUGUGUCAAGGGAAACACUGGGAAGGCGCCGGGGCGCAGACCUGAGGGUGAGGCAGGGGGGUCCCGAGCAUCCUCGGAGGACGGGACCCGGGCGGGGGCGCCAGGCGGCCUCCCCGUGGUGCUUGCAGCUUAUCACCCACUUUGGACAUGGGCCUGCGACCCCCACGGAGAGAAGCGUCCCCGUGUCCAGAGGCCCGCGCUGGCGUCGACACAACACACGAGGGGUCCCGGUCAGCUCCUGACGCUGAGGAAUCCUGAGGCGUGUGGGCGGUUUUCACUGUGUUUCUGCUUCACAUUAACGACAAAGGACUGAAGCUGAUGUUCGGGAAAGACCGACUCCCCCAAAGCAAGCUCCCCUCCGACGCGGAGCAAAGGCCUCGGCCCCGUCGGGAGGGCCCUUCCAGCCCCACUGCUCCUCCAACGCCUUGCGCUCAGAUCCAUCAACUGGUUUUCUAGAGAUUCUCAGAGUUGUUAGUGUUAUUUGCUCAUUAGUUUAACAGUUUUCGGAAAGAGGGCAACCAUAUCUAAAAUAAGUUUUCCAGUAUUUCCUUCAGAAAGGUUAUAAAAGAAUUUGGAAGUAAUAGCAAAGUGACUCAAAAAUCACACAGCAUUUUUACUACCGUCAAAUACAAAAAUAAGUUAACCUGCCCCCCAAAGUGCACUGCAAAACCAAUUCUGAUGUUGACUUAGGCACAAGUCCCUUACUGGCAGGAAAGGGCAAGUGACAGCAGCCCCCACCCAGGCCCCUGGCUCUGAAGGGCGGGGCUGCGACCGCGGCCGCUAUGCUGGCACCAGGCCUCGGCGCCCCUCGUGCCCAGCCCCAGAGCGCGCAGGCGCCAGGUUCAGGGCCUGAGGAGCAUAAAUCUACGUCAAUCCAGUAUUUUCUUAAAAGACCAUUUGAGAGAGACGAGAGUUCUGAACUGAAAUACCCCACGGCCCCUGCAUCUCACCGAGCAGGCGCGUUUCCGGAGAGAACCGAGCCGCCUGCAGAAGCACCAGCUGAGGACAUGGCUUGUUUUUCCUUUGGUCCUACGUACGGUCACUUGCCCCAGGGUCACCGGAGAAGGGCCAGCGGGA